rnacentral:rRNA from 1 species
GACGAACGCUGGCGGCGUGCUUAACACAUGCAAGUCGAACGGAAAGGCCUGCUUUCCCUUGUGGAUUGCGGGUACUCGAGUGGCGAACGGGUGAGUAACACGUGAGUGAUCUGCCCCCAACUUGGGUAUAAGCCUGGGAAACUGGGUCUAAUUCCCGAUAGGACUGCAGGGUGGUGCCUGUGGUGGAAAACGAUUUUCUAGUGGUUGGGGAUGAGCUCGCGGCCUAUCAGCUUGUUGGUGGGGUAAUGGCCUACCAAGGCGGCGACGGGUAGCCGGCCUGGGAGGGUGGACGGCCCCAUUGGGACUGAGAUACGGCCCAGACUCCUACGGGAGGCAGCAGUGGGGAAUAUUGCACCAUGGGCGGAAGCCUGAUGCAGCGACGCCGCGUGGGGGAUGACGGCCUUCGGGUUGUAAACUCCUUUCGACCGCGAGGAAGCCACCUGGUUGGAAGGGUGGUGACGGUAGUGGUAGAAGAAGCACCGGCUAACUACGUG